UGUAGCUGCAUGGUAUUCUGCUGCAGGCGUGUUCCCAUCAUCUGCAGCUGUUACUCUCAGGCUGCAGGGGAAACUGACAGGGAAACCUGCCCGGCCCACUGAGCCUGUUCCAGCUCGCCCCCUCCCACCAUCAACCUGUCAGCCUUCACCUGAAUCCUCCGCCUGCAGCUCCAACCUUACAUAACAGGUAUUUCCCAGAAGCCUGUUGGAACAGAGCCGUCAACAUGUGAGGUAUGGAGGGAAAAAACACACACAUACCUGUGGAGUAUGUGGUUGUGCAACAGCACAGUGACCUUCACUACAGAGCCUCAGCUGAGACCGAAGAAGAGUCAUGGUUUCGUGCUCACUUUACAUGUCUACAUAGAAUCUGCAUGAAGCUACGUUCAUCUUUCCCUGUAAAGUGUUUAUCUCUGUAGGCUGAGAGUGACCUUUGACCUUGACAUAUCCAAGGAAGGAGAGGCUGCGGUGGCUGCAUGUUGGAAAUCAUUGAUCAGUGAUUGAUCCCAUGUGACAGAGUUUACAGGCACUGCGUAAGAAACAGUGUAAUUGUUGGGGACUACUUUCAGCGGCGGAUUAAUCCACAUCAGAGAUCAUGUGUAACAUGUAUGAUUAAAGUUUACCCACGUGUUAAUGUCCAGCUGGAGUGUCUUCAUCCUGAAACCACAGGACUCACUUCUCUUCAGUCCUGGAUGCUUCACUGGGCACAAACACCUGUCUGUGCCACUUGCACCUGGACAGGCUUCUGCUCCUUCUCAGACAUUGUGUUCCUCCAAGGAUCAUCAUCUGGCGUCACCAUCCCUGCGCACAACGUGUUCUCAGUCCAGACUGUUCUGGUCUGUGGUUCCCUGAUGGUGGAACCAGCUCCCAGAUCCUGUCAGAGCAGGAGUGUCCCUCUCUGUCUUCAACAAUCUCUGAAGACUCAUCUCUGUUGAGAGUUCCUCCUCUCCUAACACCUCUAACAUCCCGACACGACCAACUAACACUGUCAACUUUUUUACUUUAUUUAGCUCUCAGUUCUUACUUCAAGGUCUUCUACUGCUCUGAAGCUUCAGUGGCCUAAGUUGUGGACUGUAAUUUUGUUUUAACCUCAGAGAGGAACACUCCUUGAACAAGCAGAGUUGCAGCUCUGUGAGUUUUUGGACCAUGAAACUAAUGUAAUAUCAUUCUCUCUCUGCUGCCACCUGCUGGCCAAACAGGGCUCCUUUAAAACAACAACAAGCCUCAUGUUUGCUCAAAAUAAGACCGUUGGGGUUUUAUCCAAAUGAUUUUUUCCCAGAUAUUUAUCAGACAUUUUUUCUUACAUUAGACAAAAGAAUAAAUAAAUGAAGUUAGGUUUCACUUGUAAUUAUAACUCAAUUGUAACCAUUGCUGGUCCAAGGUUUAUGAUUUUAUUAUUUGAUAAAUUUAGGACUGCCAUGGAUAAAAUACGUUCUCGAAGCAACAGCAGACAAGGGCUUAUCAUUUUAAAAUAAGAAAUAUGGCAAAAAAUGACUCAGGUGAUUUAUCAUUUUUAUUUCCAGGAUUAAAAUUUACAAAUCAGAUAUGAAAUUUAAUAGAAACCAACAGAUGCAAACAGAAAAAUCAAACACCACAGAGUUAGAUGACCAGAGAUAUAAAAUGUGAACAUUUCCAAUAAACCUAGCUUCUGGUUUUUAAAGUUUUUAUGAACUGACAUGUAAAUUAUAAAGGUAAAUACCAAUCAAACAAAGUGAUGAUUAUUGAAGGAGGUGAUUCAUAAUGUGAACAGGACCCACUGAUGCCGAUACACCAAAACAACGGCUGUAAACCAGAUAUAAAACCAGGAUGUUUUAAAGUUAAACACAAUUAAAAAAGUUCUUGAUAUAUGUAGUCAGAUUUUCCAACAACAGAUCAGGAAAUACUUUGAAUGAAAGAAUGAAGAGAAAAAUGUGAAGAAAAAUAAACUAAACUGCUGAUUUUACACACCAGUCUCUCAAAGACAAAAAAUUAAUUAAACCAGAUAGUUUUGAUGCAGAUGUUAUUGUAACGGUAUCUGACGUUCAGAGUGUCAAACAGUUCUCUAAAUUUGAAACAAACACAAUUUAUUCCUAUUUUUAAAAAAUAAAAACUGAAUAUAACAAA